rnacentral:rRNA from 1 species
AUUGAACGCUGGCGGCAGGCCUAACACAUGCAAGUCGAGCGGAUGAAGGGAGCUUGCUCCUGGAUUCAGCGGCGGACGGGUGAGUAAUGCCUAGGAAUCUGCCUGGUAGUGGGGGAUAACGUCCGGAAACGGGCGCUAAUACCGCAUACGUCCUGAGGGAGAAAGUGGGGGAGCUUCGGACCUCACGCUAUCAGAUGAGCCUAGGUCGGAUUAGCUAGUUGGUGGGGUAAAGGCCUACCAAGGCGACGAUCCGUAACUGGUCUGAGAGGAUGAUCAGUCACACUGGAACUGAGACACGGUCCAGACUCCUGCGGGAGGCAGCAGUGGGGAAUAUUGGACAAAGGGCGAAAGCCUGAUCCAGCCAUGCCGCGUGUGUGAAGAAGGUCUUCGGAUUGUAAAGCACUUUAAGUUGGGAGGAAGGGCAGUAAGUUAAUACCUUGCUGUUUUGACGUUACCAACAGAAUAAGCACCGGCUAACUUCGUG